UGUGCCGUGGGUCUUGACGCUACAGGCUAACAUCGAAAGCAAUGGAUUCCACGAGACUUGAAAAGAAGCUAUGCCGUCCUCUUAGAACUGGCGGUGGACAUGGGACACGUCACGGACGGGCGGCAAACGAAGGCAGCGCUCGUCGAAUAUCCAGGGAGUCCCCGUCGUCAGCCUUAAAAAAUGCUCCAAGCUUGUGUUCAGUGCUCCGCACACAAUCGCGGCAACCUUCAACCAGUGCUUCAACACAGACCAUUCCGAAUGCACGGUCGGCUCCCGUCCCAUGCAGGAUUCCUGUGAGAAAGGUGGACUUCAACGCCACUUUUUCUGUAAGGAGGCAACAACGAGCGCUGGUUACCUUCGUGUCCCGCAUUCCGCGUGCGGCUGUUGCGAACAAAGUGCCUGCGAAGUCGAUACAGCCCAGGUCUCUGAAUCUUGAGCACAAAGACGAACCAUCGAAUUUCGUCUCCACUUUGAGGAAAAGAAAUCGUGUAGUACUCGGCAAAGUGCGUUCCAACCGAAGAUUCGAUCUGCUCAUAAGCUACCGUGGAAUUCAGCUCUGACUCAUGCAUGCUUCAUAGAGGAUUUUUAAUUGGAACGUUUCAUUUGGUUGAUUUUAUGACAAAGCAUUGCGAACAUCGCAUACAGCCCUUUUUUUAUAUAUGUUGAUGAAUGCUGAUGCAGCUUUUACUCUUUUACUCUUUUAUCUAUGUUUGUGCCACAUAGUCCAUCUGCGGCAGAGCUCUUUUCUGACCAAGUACUAUAAUAUUCCACGUUGCUUGGCAAUCGGCAAUUGUUAGAGAGCCUAAGUAUUCCGAACAUGUCGUUGUGUUUGAUACCCUCCAUGUUUUAAUUUCAUGUGAAUAGCUGUCUCGCGGACAUACUUAGAUUUUUUUCUCUCUCAAUCUCUUCGUUUUAAGCCACUGUAGAUAGUUUUUAUAUGGUUUUUAAUUCAGUUUUUCAUUUCUUGUAACCUUUUUUUUUUUUUCUUCCCUCUGGCUUGUUCCCUUUAAUGCCUGUCGCGUGGCACCUACGGUGCUUUUAAAGUAAUGCGAUAUUUGGAUGUGUAACAGUGACUAAUGUUCGGACGUAGUGCAUGCCAUCAAGAAGUUUACUUGGUCUGAUUUUUUCCUCACUGGUGCUCGUAAGCUGAAAGUUGCGUGACACUAAAUGGCCUUGCAGGUUGCGAGUGUUUUGCACAUUUGGUGGUGCAUGUUCAACCAUGUAACUUGAGCUGCCCGUACUUCUCUCGAGUUUCACAUGAAGUGGAAAGCCAAGUUGAGUUCGUACUAAACGAGCAUCUUUGGGAUAAAAAUUGGCUUGUCAUGUUAGAUUCUGAUCGAGAUACACGUUUGACUGUGCUUCUAGACAUGCUGAAAACUUUCUUGGACUCUUCCGUGAGAAUAAAAAUAAAACAAACUA